rnacentral:snoRNA from 1 species
AGCCUCCAGACUCCUUACCCCUCAAAUCUAAAGAUUGGUCUGAGUGGCUACAAAGGGAAGGGAAGGAAAACUGAAGUGGACUUGGAGUCUUUCAUAACCAUACAUAUUCAUUUCAAACAUAU